rnacentral:rRNA from 1 species
AUUGAACGCUGGCGGCAGGCCUAACACAUGCAAGUCGAACGAGUGGCGGACGGGUGAGUAAUGUCUGGGAAACUGCCCGAUGGAGGGGGAUAACUACUGGAAACGGUAGCUAAUACCGCAUACUAUCGGAUGUGCCCAGUUGGGAUUAGCUAGUAGGUGGGGUAACGGCUCACCUAGUCGACGAUCCCUAGCUGGUCUGAGAGGAUGACCAGCAACAGUGGAACUGAGACACGGUCCAGACGACUGCGGGAGGCAGCAGUGGGGAAGAUUGCACAAGGGGCGCAAGCCUAAUGCAGCCAUGCCGCGUGUAUGAAGAAGGCCAUAGGGUGGUAAAGUACGUGCAGCAGGGAAGCGGUACUCGCAGAAGAAGCACCGGCUAACUACGUGCCAGCAGCCGCGGUAAUUC